AGGAGUUGGUCUACUGUGUAAAAAUGAAGCUGUAAAAUGGGAAACCAGGCUUCCCCUGGAUCAUUUGGAAUAAGCAGACACAAAGAGCAAUAAAUCAGAAACCUUUCACGUGGACAUGGUAUAUGUUUUGAAAGGCAGAGGUAGUUAGCUUUCACACCUGUAGCUUAAGACAACUCACCUGGACUCUUUUCAGACACCACUCUCAAGGAGAACGGAAAAAGCAGUUUUGUUCACAUGCUACUGCAGCUUUAAAGGGAGCCCCUUUCUCCUCCAUUUUUAUUUUAUGAGGGUUGGAGACCAUCAGAACCAAAGGACACCCUGCUCUGUGUGUGCUGCUCAAGUGGGAAGGAAAAAAAAGUUUGGGACCUUGAUGGAAAACCUUAAGAGUCUCAUCAAUGAUCCUAUAAGUUUCUCAUUUCUCCCAACUUGCUUUCAUCCUCUCUUUUGCCAGAGCAGAAAUCACACAGGUGUUCUACGUGGUAACAUUUCAAAUUGUUUUCAAGGAGGCUUGCUCCUCACUGGUGUGCGCGUCUAAUGUAACCUGAAAAUGAUUAAAGAUGCCCAUGAUUUUCUGCUUAGUGGCUCAUCACAACAGAUUGAACAGAUCCUCAGCCUCUGGUCUGAGUCCCACGGGGGCUGUGGGAGUGUUCCAUGUUUCUGGUGUUUGAGGAGCUUUUGCAAGUAGCUCCCAUUCCCCACCACAUUCAUAAGUCACUGAGAGAAAGGCAAAGGAAUUGGGCAGAUGGAGAUGAAAGUGCCAGCUUUAUCCCUGAUGGAGAUAUUGGAGGGCACAGGUGUGGUGUGCUGGCAAUGAAGGACUUCCUAAAACCAAUCCCAGACUGGGACAGUCACCCUCUACAUCCCAGGCUGCACAGGAGAACCGCAGACUGGAGGGUGAGGUGGAGCAGAAAGGUGAGCUCUCGCGAUGAAGGCAGAUCCCAAAGGAAGCGGCUUGAGCAGCCAAACCACGCAUGCCCAGUUCUUUCUCCUUAAAUUGGUGGUUCUCAAAGAAUGGUCCCCGUGAGGUCAAGACGAUUUUUGUAAUAAUGGAACAAUUUCUCUUGAGGGUCAUGAGGUGAUUGUGGGAGAGAUUAAACUAAUGUACGGAUCACCGAAACCUUCUUCCUCCUGGGCACACACCUAGAGAGAGCUGAUUGUUAUCCAUUUAUCAGAACACCAUUGGGUAGAAGUUCUUUGAGAACAGACCUAACUUCCCAUGCAAUUUUAGGCUGCUGAGCUGAAGAAGAAUUUGAGCUGGGAUGGCAUUCAGCCCUUUAAGCUACCAGAAUUCAUGCCCAGACCAAAGAACCAAAGUCAGUGGCAGCCCUGAGGAAGUAGUAGGAGAGGCAAAUCCUAGAGACAAAGGUGAGAAACUCAGCAGUGCAGAAGGAAGAGGUAUUGAAUGGAUUUUCUCCACCCAGCAUCCUAACUGGUGAGUAAUAAUACCUUCUGCCUCUUUAAGGUAACUAUUUAUUUGCCCUGGUAUGGACAGAGAACAUUUGCUCUAGCUUAAAGGAAAAAAAAAAAAAAAGAAUGUGUGCUCUAAUGGAAGAAUCAAAUUAUAUCAGAAAAGGAAGCACUUUAAGCUUUAUUGCUGUAGAUCACUCUGCCUCCAGCUGUGAAACUGAUUGAUGUUUAAAACCCCUGAGGCACUGGCAGCUGUGGUGGCUGAUUCAAGUAAGAAAAAAAUGUGUGUGAGUGUGCGUGUGGGUGUGAGUGAAUGAGUGUGUAACCGUGUGUAGGUGCGCUAAGAAACUAUAUGGGUAAAAUUUAUUGCAUAACUUUUAUCUAAAGAUUCUUUGUAAAAUUCUUCUAAAAUAGAUGGAUAGAAACAUACUUAGAUUGGAUAUUUAAUGGGUAUUUAGACAUAUAAGUAGAAAAAUAUGUGUAUGUGCAUAUCCCAAUGAAGAGUGUAUACAUAUGGAGAGAGAGAGAUAUAGGAGAAAGAUCUCUAUGAUCAAUUAGAUGAAUGCUUUGCUUCUAUUUCACUAAAAAAUAGGAAUAAAUGAGUAGUUAAGGAACUAAAUGGUAAGGGUCUUGGGCUUAUUUAACAUACACUAACACAGUUUAGGACAGGGAAAGAUUCACUAAGUAGUGGUGUAGUGGCAAGAUGUAAUCAAAUUGAAUUAGAGAGACACCUAGACUAGAAAUAAUGCUUUGCUCUUGAUUUCCCAAUGCUAGGAUUAGACCCAAGGAAUAUAUAAUACCUGAUGAAGAACAAGGCACUGCUGGGAAAGACACUACUCCCAUCAAAUAAUCCAAAUAUUUGUUAAAUUUCCACUUUCCAUCCAGCAUUACAACUGAAAACACAAAGGCAGGGUAUGUAAGAGUUUCUGCCCCCAUGAUCCAGGUGAGGACUCAAUGAGAACAUCUGGCAUUGGUUUACAUUUGCAUAAAACAUGUCAAGACUUUAUCAAUCUCCUGAAAAAUCUAUAUUUCCUCCAUGUGUCCAUUCUUUUGUGCUCAAUCCAAAAAACAGAGGGUAUGAUAUGACAAAGAUAUUUUUCUUUUUAUUGAAGGAGUUGGUGUUUAUUGUGUGUAUAUGGGAAAUGCUGGAAUAGACAAAUUUUGAAGGGGGAUAUAUUCUAAAGGCUACAACAUAAACUUCUUUAAAAAUAUGAUUGAAGAUAUGUUAAAAAAAGAAAAGAAAACCUCUCAACCAGGUUAGAUCAGCUAGUAUGAACUGGUUAGAACUCUUAGGAUGAGUUCUUGAAAUCUCAGAACUAUUCAGAAGAGUAUAAUAAUGUUUUUAAUUGGACCUCUUAGUAUUCUUCAGUGAGUACUUUUCUCAGAGAAAAAACCCUCCUAAUCCCAUUAUAAACCUGCAGUUUUCCUUCCUGCUGUCUGCUGAAGCCUUUCUGCACAUAGCCUUCAAAAUUUUUCAGCUUGCUUCUUUUUUUUUUUAAAUAAUUUCAUUCUUGCAUGGUGAGUUAAAUAGUUUAAAUUGAUUUCUGAGACCUAUCAGCCUGGAAAUUAAUUUAAAAAUUUAUUAAGAACAUUUCAAAGGAAUGCUUGUGCUUAUUUUUUUCACACCCACAACUUUCAUAUUAUUUCAAGCUCCCCUCCCAGAGCAUGUAAAAAGACGCCUCAAAGACAGAAGAGAAAUAAGCUGUUUUUAUCAUGAAAAUAAUUAUAAAAUUGGUUGCAUGCACAAACAUUGCUGUUACCUUCCUAGUGGCAUAAAAUGGAGAAGAAUAUGAUCAUUUUGCCAGAUACAUCUUUAGUGAUUUUGUUUUUCUAGUGAAAUAUUCUUUGUUCUUAUACUGGAUUUGUUAAUUCUCUUGCAGUUCAGGUGACAAUUCCCUAUUUCCUUUCUCCUUAGUCUUCAAUAUGAGCAUUAAUUCUCCACUACUUUUGGGGGUCGGGUCACUAUCUGCCAGGACACAUGCCUCCUUUUGAUCUGAAGCAGGGGUAAAAUCAGACUCACUAAGCUUCAACCAGAGUGCUAUAGCAAAGUUUCAAUAUAAGAAGGGUUAGAGGCAAAAAUCUAGUUGCAGGGAGAGCUACUGGUCUUAAGCCUGCAUUUGUUUAGAAAAUCCAUUGUUUUAAAUAUGACCUUGUGUUCCUUAGCCUGUCUUUGGGGUCGCAGGGGCUGAAGCUGCAGCAAGACUCUGCUAAUUACCCUUAGAGACACCACCACCCAUCAGACUGUGCUUUUGAAACUCUCCACUUCCAAAUCAGUCCUCAGAACGAAAGGUAAUUAAGCUUCCUGACAUUCAGUGACCCACAGUGAUGUACAGGAAAUGUGAUAUUUGAAAAAUACAUCACCCAAAUGUACUCAUUAUGGAAUAUGAAACUCUACUAUAUCCCGUAUUUUCAUACUUUUAUAUUAUUUUUUCAAAGGUUUCUACAUGCAUUAUUACCCCAGAUCAUUUGUUCCUUCAACAGAUAAUUAACUGCCUACUAGAUGUAAGGCUUUCUGCUAGGAAUAGGGUAUAUCCUAUUGGACCUGACAUUAGGAUAUAUAAGAAAGGCAUGGUUCUACGAAGUCAUGAGGUGUAUAUUACAGCAGAGUGGCAAACAUUGAAUACCUGACUCCAAAGUGAACAAUGAAUUAUAAUAAUUAUUAACGCUUCCUAGAAGUUUGGGGGACUUGACCUCAUUUUUCUCUGUGGUCCUAGAAGUUUUCUCUAAAGAAAUGGUAUUUAACCUAGAUCUCAAAGACAAGUAAGACUUUGCUAGUUGAAGGGCUGGUGACGAUGAUGGCAUGACUUCAAGCAGAGGAAGACCAUCCAUGAAGACUACACAGAGACCAAAAGGGACCUGCCUCUUCUGAGGAAAGGGAAGAAGGUCAGUGGGGUUGAUAUCUUGGGAGGAGUGGACAGAGUGAGAAAAGCCAGUUCUCACAAUCACCCUGUUAAAGGAUGUAAACGGGUAGCCUCUAUGAUGUUUUAACUGAUGCAGGUGCCAAACUUGGUCAGAUUCCCCCAGAGCCUUGGCUGUUUCUCUCUCCUCUACACAUCUUUUGAGUUUCUGCUACACGUCAGGUGGCAUUUCUGGAUGGUAAGCGAUAGAAAUGUUCAUUGACACUUAAGAACAAGGACUUUAUUGGAAGAAGAUUGAGUCCCUUCCAUGACUGAAGGAAAGGUUAAAUAACCAGGACUCAGUUAGAUAAAGAAUGAGAACAAUUCCACAGAAUUCAAUAGUAGCAACUCAGGCAGAGUCCCUUUGGGCCGUGUCAUCAAAUGGCCCAGUUUCAACCAUGUGAAAUCUAGGAGAGGAGACUCUGAGAGGCCUGGUUUGGGGUAAGUGCCAAUGCCUGGGUUCACCAGACAGAAGGCCCCAGGAUUGCCAGAUCCAGGGGAGUUACAUGAGGGUUAGGAAGGGAUACUGGGUAUACUGGGCACAACUGAUUGCCUCAAAGCAGGUUCUUCCCACCUCCUCAACUUUCCAAUUUGUUCCAAGAUCAACUCCUUGAGUCUAUACCUAAAAAUGUGAAUCUUGUAUAUAAGUUCAAAGGCUUUGUGUCUUUGGACCUCCAGCUUGAACUAGUAAGCAGUUUGGACCUCCAGCUAGAACUAGUAAGCAGAGCCCUCAGGGACCCACUGUUCUCCAGAACACAGGUUAGGCUGAGGGACUCUAUUCUGGGAAAGUGAUGCUUACAUUACUAUUUGCCCAUCAGUUAUACAAGAACUACUUCAAAAACAUCAUUGUAGCCAUUUCUUUUUAUUUUCAAAUGAAUCAUUCCUUUUUUUUUGAACUUUUGCCUUUUUUUUUUCAUUUAUUUAAUCAUUUUGCU